GCAUCAUGAUUUACAUUUGAGUGAGUGGCGAACUGGUGAGUAACACGUGGGAAACCUGCCCAGAAGCGGGGGAUAACACCUGGAAACAGAUGCUAAUACCGCAUAACAACUUGGACCGCAUGGUCCGAGUUUGAAAGAUGGCUUCGGCUAUCACUUUUGGAUGGUCCCGCGGCGUAUUAGCUAGAUGGUGAGGUAACGGCUCACCAUGGCAAUGAUACGUAGCCGACCUGAGAGGGUAAUCGGCCACAUUGGGACUGAGACACGGCCCAAACUCCUACGGGAGGCAGCAGUAGGGAAUCUUCCACAAUGGACGAAAGUCUGAUGGAGCAACGCCGCGUGAGUGAAGAAGGGUUUCGGCUCGUAAAACUCUGUUGUUAAAGAAGAACAUAUCUGAGAGUAACUGUUCAGGUAUUGACGGUAUUUAACCAGAAAGCCACGGCUAACUACGUGCCAGCAGCCGCGGUAAUACGUAGGUGGCAAGCGUUGUCCGGAUUUAUUGGGCGUAAAGCGAGCGCAGGCGGUUUUUUAAGUCUGAUGUGAAAGCCUUCGGCUCAACCGAAGAAGUGCAUCGGAAACUGGGAAACUUGAGUGCAGAAGAGGACAGUGGAACUCCAUGUGUAGCGGUGAAAUGCGUAGAUAUAUGGAAGAACACCAGUGGCGAAGGCGGCUGUCUGGUCUGUAACUGACGCUGA
rnacentral:rRNA from 1 species